rnacentral:rRNA from 1 species
GAUGAACGCUGGCGGCGUGCCUAAUACAUGCAAGUCGAGCGAAUGGAUUAAGAGCUUGCUCUUAUGAAGUUAGCGGCGGACGGGUGAGUAACACGUGGGUAACCUGCCCAUAAGACUGGGAUAACUCCGGGAAACCGGGGCUAAUACCGGAUAACAUUUUGAACCGCAUGGUUCGAAAUUGAAAGGCGGCUUCGGCUGUCACUUAUGGAUGGACCCGCGUCGCAUUAGCUAGUUGGUGGGGUAACGGCUCACCAAGGCAACGAUGCGUAGCCGACCUGAGAGGUGGAUCGGCCACACUGGGACUGAGACACGGCCCAGACUCCUACGGGAGGCAGCAGUAGGGGAUCUUCCGCAAUGGACGAAAGUCUGACGGAGCAACGCCGCGUGAGUGAUGAAGGCUUUCGGGUCGUAAAACUCUGUUGUUAGGGAAGAACAAGUGCUAGUUGAAUAAGCUGGCACCUUGACGGUACCUAACCAGAAAGCCACGGCUAACUACGUGCCAGCAGCCGCCGUAA